AAUUAGAUAAUGUAUUAAAACAUAUUAAGUUGCAAACUUAAAAAAGAGAUUUUCUCUAAUUU
rnacentral:tRNA from 1 species